AGGAGGCCUCUGCGAGGCCGUAGAGGCACGUGCGAGCUUGAGCGAGCCCUUGUCAUUCUGUGCGCGCCCGUGCGAGCCCGUGCGAGCCCGUACGAGCCCGUAGGAGGCCUCUGCGAGCCCGUAGAGGCCCGUGUGAGCUUGGGCGAGCUCGUGUCAGCCCGUACGAGCCCGCAUGAGCCCGUAGGAGCCCGUAGGAGGCCUCUGCGAGCCCGUAGAGGCCCGUGCGAGCUUUUGCAAGCCUGUGUCAGCCCGUGCGAGCCCAUACGAGCCCGUAGGAGGCCUCUGCGAGCCCGUAGAGGCCCGUGCGAGCUUGUGCGAGCCCGCACGUGCCCAUGUGAGCCCAUACGAGCCCAUAGGAGGCCUCUGCGAGGCCGUAGAGGCCCGUGCGAGCUUGUGCGAGCCCGUGUCAGCCCAUGCGCGCCCGUGCGAGUCCAUACGAACCCGUAGGAGGCCUCUGCGAGCCCGUAGAGGCCUGUGCGAGAUUGUGCGAGCCCGUGCGCGCCCGUGCGAGCCCAUACGAGCCCGUAGGAGGCCUCUGCGAGCCCGUAGAGGCCCGUGCGAGCUUGUGCAAGCCCGUGCGAGCCCAUACGAGCCCGUAGGAGGCCUCUGCAAGCCCGUAGAGGCCCGUGCGAGCUUGUGCAAGCCCGUGUCAGCCCCUGCCAGCCCGUACGAGCCCGUAGGGGGCCGUGCGAGCUUGUGCAAGCCUGUGCGCGCCCGUGCGAGCCCGCACGAGCACGUAGGAGGCCUCUGCGAGCCCGUAGAGGCCCGUGCGAACUUUUGCGAGCCCGUGCGCGCCCGUGCGAGCCCACACAAGCCCGUAGCAGGCCUCUGCGAGCCUGUAGAGGCCCGUGCGAGCUUGUGCAAAGCC
rnacentral:lncRNA from 1 species